rnacentral:rRNA from 1 species
AAGAUGAGCCCGCAUUUGAUUAGUUAGUUGGUGAGGUAACGGCUCACCAAGACUUCGAUCAGUAGCCGGCCUGAGAGGGCGAUCGGCCACACUGGAACUGAGACACGGUCCAGACUCCUACGGGAGGCAGCAGUGGGGAAUCUUGCGCAAUGGGCGAAAGCCUGACGCAGCAACGCCGCGUGGGUGAUGAAGGUCUUCGGAUUGUAAAACCCUGUCGUUAGGGACGAAGGCAUGAAUCCUAAUACGAUUCAUGUUUGACGGUACCUAGAAAGGAAGCCCCGGCUAACUCUGUGCCAGCAGCCGCGGUAAUACAGAGGGGGCAAGCGUUAUUCGGAAUUAUUGGGCGUAAAGGGUGCGUAGGCGGUUUUUUAAGUCAGAUGUGUAAUCCCCGAGCUCAACUUGGGAACUGCAUCUGAAACUGGAAGACUAGAGUGCUGGAGAGGAUGGUGGAAUUCCACGUGUAGCGGUGAAAUGCGUAGAGAUGUGGAGGAACACCAGUGGCGAAGGCGGCCAUCUGGACAGUAACUGACGCUGAAGCACGAAAGUGUGGGUAGCAAACAGGAUUAGAUACCCUGGUAGUCCACACCGUAAACGAUGAACACUUGGUGUAGUGGGCGUUGACCCCCACUGUGCCGUAGCUAACGCGAUAAGUGUUCCGCCUGGGGAGUACGGUCGCAAGGCUGAAACUCAAAGGAAUUGACGGGGGCCCGCACAAGCAGCGGAGCGUGUUGCUUAAUUCGAUGCUACGCGAAGAACCUUACCGAGGUUUGACAUCCCAGGAAUUUUUGGGAAACCAAUUAGUGCCUUCGGGAACCUGGUGACAGGUGCUGCAUGGCCGUCGUCAGCUCGUGUCGUGAGAUGUUGGGUUAAGUCCCGCAACGAGCGCAACCCUCGUUCUGUGUUGCCAGCAUUUAGUUGGGGACUCACAGGAGACUGCCGGGGUUAACUCGGAGGAAGGUGGGGAUGACGUCAAAUCAUCAUGCCCCUUAUGUCUUGGGCUGCACGCAUGCUACAAUGGCCGGUACAGAGGGCUGCAAUACCGUAAGGUGGAGCGAAUCCCAAAAAGCCGGUCUCAGUUCGGAUUGAGGUCUGCAACUCGACCUCAUGAAGUUGGAGUUGCUAGUAAUCGUAGAUCAGCAACGCUACGGUGAAUACGUUCCCGGGGCUUGUACACACCGCCCGUCACGUCACGAAAGUCGGUAACACCCAAAGUCAGUGGCCCAACCGCAAGGGGGGAGCUGCCUAAGGUGGGAUCGGUGAUUGGGACGAAGUCAUAACAAGGUAGCCGUA